rnacentral:rRNA from 1 species
AGUCUCUGCUGAAAUCCUGCGGCUUAACCGUAGGGCUUGCCGGAGAAACUCUCAGACUGGAGGAUGGGAGAGGUCGGAGGUACUUCUGGGGUAGGGGUGAAAUCCUAUAAUCCUAGAAGGACCACCAGUGGCGAAGGCGUCCGACAUGACCCUGCCUGACAGUGAGGGACGAGAGCCAGGGUCGCGANNCGGAUUAGAUACCCGUGUAGUCCUGGCCGUAACCAAUGUUGACUAGGUGGGGCGCGUACUUCGAGUACGUACUAUGCCCAAGGGAAACCGUUAA